rnacentral:lncRNA from 1 species
GUGGGGCUUAAGGGAGAGAGCAGCAUCAAAGGUGACUCCUGAAUUUCUGGGCUCCAGCUCCUGCGUGGACGGAGAGGCCCUGCACUGGGAUAGCAACAGCAGGAGAAGGAAGGCUUUGGGGCAUGGAAAGGGUCGAUCAUGAGUUUAGCUUUGGGAAAUUUGAGAUCAACAUGCCAUAGGUACAUCUAAGUGGAGACAGAUAUUCAAUAUGGAGUUGUACGUAGGAAUUCUGCUCUAGACUGAGUGUUCCUAUCCCCCUAAGUUCAUAUGUUGAAACCCAAACCCCCAGUGGCAUGGUAUUUGGAAGUGGGGCCUUUGGCAGGUGAUCAGGUCAUGAAAGUGGAGCCCUUAGGAAUGGGAUUAGUGCCUUAUAUAAAAGAGGCCCCAGAGAGCUCCCUCGUCCCUCUGCCACGUGAGGACACAGAAAGAAGACGGCUGCCUACGAACCAGGAGGAGGGCUCUUACCACAGAGUGUGCCGGCGCCUUGACCCGGGCCUCCAGCCCCCGGAACCGUGAGGAAUACGUGUUUGCAGUCUAUAAGCCACCAGGCUGCGGUGUUUUUGUUGUGGCUGCCCAAACGGACUAAGACGAAUCCCUAGCUGCAGAGAAGAAUCUGGGAUGGAUAUUUCCACUUUGGGAGCCAUCAGAUGAAAGAAUCCUUGAAGAUAUGACAGUGAAUAAGAUUGCCUCGAGAGUGUGUGUAUCCAUGAGAAUGGCGAAGACAAAAAGAAGUCUGAGGAACAUUUAAAGAAGACGCUAGACAGAGACAUAUGUGGAGAAGGUAUAGCCUGGGAAGUAGAAGGAAAACCAAGAGUGAGAAGUCACUGAAACCAAAGGAAAAGAUGGCUUUCCUUUGGGGAAAUGGCCAACGCUGUAGAAUGCUGCUGAGGGUCAAAUAAGGGUCAGAGAAAAGAUGUGAGAUUUGAAAGUCAACCGCAAUGAUGUUGACGGGCAUUAGAAAUCAAUUCUCGACCAUGGCCGUUCAGACUGCUUAUUCCUGACAGCUAAAGACUAAAUCUGAAUCUUGACCGCAUUCCCAGAAUCGCCUUUCCCUCCUGCAUGGAAAGGAGGAGAUUCCUCUGUAAUGAAGACAUACGUUUGAAGUCAUAAGGCUCUAAUUGAAAGUACGUGCCUUAAGACAUCACAUUAAAGCUUAGAUUACUCCUAAGAUUGCUUUAGAAUGCAGACAUAUUAAAGGCUCAGAAAGCUGUCAACUUACAUGACUCCCGUUCCUGAGUUUGAGGCAGCGAUCUUCCUGUGUUCA